UGCAAGUCGAGCGGUACAUUUCUAGCUUGCUAGAAGAUGACGAGCGGCGGACGGGUGAGUAAUGCUUGGGAACAUGCCUUGAGGUGGGGGACAACAGUUGGAAACGACUGCUAAUACCGCAUAAUGUCUACGGACCAAAGGGGGCUUCGGCUCUCGCCUUUAGAUUGGCCCAAGUGGGAUUAGCUAGUUGGUGAGGUAAUGGCUCACCAAGGCAACGAUCCCUAGCUGGUUUGAGAGGAUGAUCAGCCACACUGGAACUGAGACACGGUCCAGACUCCUACGGGAGGCAGCAGUGGGGAAUAUUGCACAAUGGGCGCAAGCCUGAUGCAGCCAUGCCGCGUGUGUGAAGAAGGCCUUCGGGUUGUAAAGCACUUUCAGUCAGGAGGAAAGGUUAACGGUUAAUACCCGUUAGCUGUGACGUUACUGACAGAAGAAGCACCGGCUAACUCCGUGCCAGCAGCCGCGGUAAUACGGAGGGUGCGAGCGUUAAUCGGAAUUACUGGGCGUAAAGCGUACGCAGGCGGUUUGUUAAGCGAGAUGUGAAAGCCCCGGGCUCAACCUGGGAACUGCAUUUCGAACUGGCAAACUAGAGUGUGAUAGAGGUGGUAGAAUUUCAGGUGUAGCGGUGAAAUGCGUAGAGAUCUGAAGGAAUACCGAUGGCGAAGGCAGCCACCUGGGUCAACACUGACGCUCAUGUACGAAAGCGUGGGGAG
rnacentral:rRNA from 1 species